rnacentral:rRNA from 1 species
GACGAACGCUGGCGGCGUGCCUAACACAUGCAAGUCGAACGGGAAGGCCGGAGCUAGUGGCGCACGGGUGGGUGACGCGGGGGAACGUGCCCUUGGGUUCGGAAUACCUCCCUGACGGGUGUGCUAAUACAGCAUAGUGUCUUCGGACCAAAGAUUGAUCGCCGUUGGGUGGGGCGGCGUUGGUUUAGCUGGUUGGUAGGGUAAAAGCCUAUCAAGGCGACGAUCCUUAGCUGGUCUGAGAGGAUGCUCAGCUACACUUGGUCUGAGACCCGGCCCAGAAUCCUACGGAAGGGAGCAGAGGAGAAUAUUGUACAAUGGGGGCAAGCCCGAUGCCGCCACGCCGGGUGAGUCAUGAUGGCCGUAGUGAUGUAAAGCCCUUUUACCCGGGAUGUUAAUGACGGUACCUGGAGAAUAAGCACCGGCUAACUCCGUG